UCUUAGUUGUUUGCCUGUCCUUCGGGUCUGGUGGGUGACUAUUUGAGGGGCGGUUUUGGGGAAUGUUGACCGUAAAGGUGCGUGAGUGGUGCUUGGUAUGUUGCGGGUGGUUGGAUGUCUGCAUGUGCAGCAACGUCCACCCGUUCAUGCCUCUUCAAUUACCGCGAGGGACCGUCCUUUGGCCCCKAGCAACCGUCGGUGUUUCCUGUGUUGCAUGCCUACUUGAUGGUAUCUUAUCGUCUGAUUUAUGCCUGAUUCCAUCGUACGUCGCUCAUGCGGCGUGGGAUGGACCCCGAAGCGGCCUYUUUGUUCCUUGUCGUCGGUGCUUAUACGCCUUCGGCUUGGCCCAUUGUGCGUUGCUUGGUUUCUCGGAUACAGAACCUUGUGCGGGUACGGGGUCUCUCGGGACCUUGUGUUUGCCCUCGUCAAGCGUUCUUGCUUCUCAGAAACGACUGGUUGGCCGCGUGUCGACAUGCUUGUGCGCGGC
rnacentral:misc_RNA from 1 species